CAGCCGCCGCGGUAAAACGGAGGAUCCAAGCGUUAUCCGGAAUCAUUGGGUUUAAAGGGUCCGUAGGCGGUCUUGUAAGUCAGUGGUGAAAGCCCAUCGCUCAACGGUGGAACGGCCAUUGAUACUGCAGGACUUGAAUUAUUGGGAAGUAACUAGAAUAUGUAGUGUAGCGGUGAAAUGCUUAGAGAUUACAUGGAAUACCAAUUGCGAAGGCAGGUUACUACCAAUUGAUUGACGCUGAUGGACGAAAGCGUGGGUAGCGAACAGGAUUAGAUACCCGCGUAGUCCCUGUCUCUUAUAA
rnacentral:rRNA from 1 species